rnacentral:sRNA from 1 species
CCGUCUCAAUCUGCUGCGGACAGAUGAAGUGAAUGUGAGUGUCGAUGCCACCGGGCGUGACGAUCCGGCCUUCGCCGGCGAUGACCUCGGUCCCCGGCCCGAUGACGAGCCGAGGGUCGACACCCCGCUGAGUCAGGGGGUUACCCGACUUGCCAACGGCGACGAUCCGUCCGCCCCGGAUCCCGAUAUCCCCUUUGACGAUCCCCCAGUGGUCGAUAAUCACCGCGUUGGUGAUGACCAGGUCGCAGUGAUCCGGACCCAUCGGAUCAACGACCGG